CGCCUGUUUAUCAAAAACAUGUCCUCUUGUUCUUAAAUUUGAGGUUAGGCCUGCUCAAUGAAUAUUUAAAUAGCUGCAGUAUUUUAACUGUACUAAGGUAGCAUAAUCAAUUGUCUUUUAAUUGGAGGCUAGAAUGAAAGGUUUGACAAAGAAUCAGCUUUCUUUAUCUUAUUAAUUGAAUUUUAUUUUUUAGUUAAAAAGCUAAAAUGUUAUUGUAGGACGAGAAGACCCUAUAGAUCUUUAUAUUUUAAAAAUUGUAAAUUAAUUAGUAAAUAUGAAUUUAUAAUUAUAUAGAUAUUUUGUUGGGGUGACUUUAGAAAUAUUAAACUUCUAAUAUAUUAAUCAUUAAUUUAUGUAUAUAUGAUCCAUUUUUAGUGAUUAGAAGACUAAGUUACCUUAGGGAUAACAGCGUUAUUACUCUGGAGAGAUCUUAUUAAUAGAGUAGCUUGCGACCUCGAUGUUGGAUUAAAAUUAACCCUUGGUGUAGCAGCUAAUGGGUUAGGUCUGUUCGACCUUUUAAAUUUUACAUGAUCUGAGUUCAAACCGGAG
rnacentral:rRNA from 1 species